UCCCCAAAGACGCGUCUCCUCCUCCGGGAAGCUUUCCCAGACGCCCCCACCGUGCUGUCUGCCGCGCUCUGCGCCUGGAGGUGCGUCUAACAGUUUGUUUACGCGUCUGCCGACGUCUCCGCGCCAGACCGCGGCUCUCCAGGAGCAGGGGCCCGGCCGGCGCCGCCAGGACGGCGCGCAGGCGAGGCACCGCCAUGGGGAGCCCCGGCCCGGGGUCGUGGCGCGCUCCGGCGGGGUCCACCCCCAGGCGCCCGCCGGACCCAGCAUCGCCCGACCCACCGCGAGGCUGCAAGACGCGCCCGCGAGGGCUCCCAACCUCCAGCCUGUGCCUUCCAAAGGUCGAAUAACUGAAAAGAGCGUUCACAGUAUAACCCAAGUCUGGAAGGAAGGCAGACACUCUUCAGGCUAAUAAAACCCAGCAGAUAUGACAACAGCACAAGAGAUCUGGGUUCCACACCACCUGCCCUGCCCGGCACUGGGAGGCUGAAGGCAUGAUGGGAGGCAGAGGGUUGGCGGCGCAGGAAGGCGGGCCAGGCCGGUGCACAGAACACCAGCCACGCAACCGGCCUGCCCACUUGGCCUUGCUUUCUGCCACGGAUGGCGGAACCUGCCCGGUGUCUGGCGGUGACGAGGCCUGGAGGCCAGGACCCAGCGCUGCCUGGCAACGAAUCCCCAAGCUCUUUGGUCUGCACCCAUGAAUGCUGCAGGUGCCUGCUGAUCAACUGAGGAAUGGCUCUGGCUUAGGGACCUUCUGCUCUAGAAUGCAAGGCAUCUCCUGGGGCGGGGGGAGCCAGGUGGGGCUGAGGAGACCAACCUGAAGCCAACCAAGCUAGAGCGCCCCCCCCCCAGCUUCCUGUCCUCAGAGCACCCCGGGGCAUUUGUGAAGCUCAUUAGUGCAGCAGCGAUUAAUAUGGGGCCCAGAGCAGGACUUCCCCCUGCCAGGGAGGCCGCAAAGCUCCAGAACAUUCCAGGGAGGAAUGGAGCACCACCCAGGCCUGGCCUCCCGGGGCUGCAAAGCAAUCCCUAAUGAGUCCUCUCCCCGGGAGGGUGAAGUCACCUGCAAACAGGCAGCUCAGCCUCAGGUGUUCUCCGCGAGGCUUAAAAUAGCCGGCUCCCUCCGCAAGCACCUUCCAGCACUGUUUAGGAAGGCGAAUGCCAGGAAACUAAUGAAUCUGAGCUUAGUGAAUUAAUUGUUGAUGAAAUAAUAUGAAUAGUGUGCUUCCUGUUCAUCAGUCUCUACAGAAAUUAAUUAGCCCCGCUUGGCAGCAAGCAGGAUCAAAUUUUCAACUUAAUUUAUGAUUUUGGCCAAAUUGUCUAUGGGAAGCCUUGCCUGGAGGACCUUCCGUGGCUGCUUCAUGUCCGGACAGGCCUUGCCUUUCAUAGAAGACAUGACUGCUGUAAAAGCCCCAACAAGAGAAGA